rnacentral:tRNA from 1 species
GGUGGCUCAGUGGUAGAGCACUUGCCUUGCAUGCAAGCAGCCCUGGGUUCGAUUCCUGAGCACCA